rnacentral:rRNA from 1 species
AAUACCUACGGGGGGCAGCAGUGGGGAAUAUUGCACAAUGGGCGAAAGCCUGAUGCAGCAACGCCGCGUGAAGGAAGAAGGGUUUCGGCUCGUAAACUUCUAUUAACAGGGACGAAAGAAAUGACGGUACCUGAAUAAGAAGCCACGGCUAACUACGUGCCAGCAGCCGCGGUAAUACGUAGGUGGCAAGUGUUGUCCGGAUUUACUGGGUGUAAAGGGCGUGCAGCCGGGAAGACAAGUCAGAUGUGAAAUCCCGCGGCUCAACCGCGGAACUGCAUUUGAAACUGUUUUUCUUGAGUACCGGG